UCCUUUGGUGCCAAAUUUCAUACAGAUUUUUCAUCACUUCAUAACAUUAAAUUAACUUAUUUACAAAUUGAUUAUAAAUCAGAAACAUCUAAAUAUUUUGGUAAAGCCAAUUUUUCUCAUUUCUUUUGAUACGUUAUUACAAACUCUCCCUUUUUUGGAUGGAUACAGAAAGUAUCCCUACCUUAUCAUAAUCUCUUUAUAACAAGUAAUAUAAAGCAAAUGAAAUCAACAAUAAUGCUAAAAUUGUAGACUGCAGUGCUAAUAGAAAACUUACUGAACUUUUUUUUAGUAUAAUCAGUCUAUAUUUCAUGUAAAUUCAUGUGUUUAAAAGAUAUUAUUGUUUAGAGUUUGCCUUUUGUCUCACCUAUAAUGAAAUUUAUUGAUAAGCAAUGUCACUAUGGUUACACCAUUUCCUCUCUUUAUCAUAGAUCCAUCAGUAUUUUUUUGGUGUAGCAUACAAUGUUACAAAGACCAAUAUGUUACAUGGCAUGAUACAGCACUGUCCUUAUUACCUAGUACAUGCUGUGUUAGACUGAGGAAGUUCAGAUAUAUUUAAUAGAAACCAUACAUGACAGGGCAACACUAUUUAGUUUCUUUUUUUAUAAUUUGUAUAAUUAGACAGCAUCUAACAAUACAGGGUUAUAAAAAUGAAUCAUAUGAAAUCCAAAAUAGGGUCCUAUGGCUAAACAGGCACCAAAGACAGAAUAAAAUAUGACCUUGACUUAUUUAAAGUUUUUUCCUGUUCAUUACUUCAAAUAAUACAAUUGUGUAUAGGAUUUUUGGACAUCUUUACAACAAAGUCACUUAAUAAAAAUGAAAACAAAAUCACUCUUUUGGAAAUGUAUUUUAACAAGAUAUGACUUGAAGAAUUGGUACACCACUUCCUGAAGAUGACAUAUACAUGGUGUCAAAUAAACAUUUGAACUUGGACUAAGACUCGGUAAAAUCAAAUAUCUGCUGGCAGACCCAAGUGUAAUGUUUUUGUGUAACAAAACAAAAAAUGUAUGUUUAGUUGUAUUGAAUAUUUUUUUUUACCCUUUUACAAGCAAUCAAAAUGUAUUAUGGUUGGAGAUGAUUUUUUUCUACUUAAUAUAUCACUAUCAGUCUAAGAUCAGCAACUUCUAAAACAUUGAGUUUCACCAUUAACCAUAUAAUGCAAAACAAUUGACAUUUGAAUUAAAUUAUAUCCUUUUGGCAUAUUCUUAUUCAUAUGUUACAGUAAUGAUUUGACUUAAAAUAUGAUUUAUUGACAACAAUUUUAUGUUUAUUUUGAAUAAGAAACAUUGCUUUAUAAUUGGUUAUCUGAAGUAGCAAAACACAUUGAAUUUCAUAAAUUGAAAGAGACUGUAGUCAUCAGGGCUUUGAAAGCCAUUAUAUUUCUGAGAGAUAGAGAUUUUUUUGUAAAUAACAUUGAGUUUACUAGAUUUGCAUUGUUGUAAAAUUGUGUGCAGUUUAAUACAAACAACUGAGGAUUUUGUGCAUUUUUAUCUUUCUUUGUUUUGUCUCAUAAAUAUUAAUAUGCAAUUGUAUUUAUUAUCUGUCUCUGUUUAAAUAAUCUGUUUCAUUUAGGACAUGUGUUUUAUUUUAAUCUGUUAGAUUUGAAGAUGAAUUAGUACUAAGGUUGUUCUAUUUAGGCAUAUUGGAUACUGAAGGAUGUUCCAUUUUGAUAUAUUGGAUACUAAAGGCUGUUCCAAUUAGAUAUAUAGGAUAUUGAACUAGGUGGGUAAUGCAUUUCACAUACUCUAAAAAAAAUAAUUGGGUUUAUAUUGGCAUAUUUUUUCCUGUAACAGUUAGUAACAGAUAUAGGGAAACAGUUUCAAAAAACCACAUUACUGUAAUUAACUAAGCAUUUUAACAAAAUAGGGUAUUGAAAUCAUAGAAAGAACGGAUAUGUGAAAGACCACACCAAAUAAAACAGUUAAGAGAACCUGACAUUUAAGUUACAGGUAAAAUAUCUCAACAGGUAGAUAUUAGGGUAAUAGAAGCACAUGCUGUUUUAAUGAUAGAAUAACUUAUAAGUCAUGUCCCAUCUUUUUCCUUACAUUGAGAAGAGUUAGUCUUAUGUACUAUGAGGAAAUUUGAAAAAAGUUUUGUGUGCUCAAGAUGUGUGUUAUUUUUACAGUUAUUUGCUAUUAAGGAAACUUCUGAUAUGUGUACUGAAUGAAUUUCACCUCUUUCUCCUGAGGUCUGAAUAUUUAUCAAAAUUGCUACUCAGUUCAUCUGUAUUAAUAGUCCCAUUUAUGCAUUAUUUUAUGCAAAGUUCUCUAUCAAAUAUCUUGAUGUGCCAUGUGAUUGUGUAAAUGUUCAAGACGAAUAAUGGUAUUUUCAUUAAGAACACUUUGUGCCAAUUUAAGUCUUAAAUUACAUUCUAUAUUUUCCUGCAUCUGUUGUCCUCUAUGCACAGAUUUAUCACGAUUAACAUUAAGCAAUAUAUUACAUUCUGCUCAAAAUGGUGCUACAUACUGUGUUGAUGGUUUCAUUGUUACUUUCAGAUGAAUAGCAUUUUUGUAAGAUUUUCUUCGGCAUUCAGGUUAUUUGAAGUGCAUAUAAGGUUUUUGUGUUCUAACUUUGAAUACUAUAUCCCUUAUUUUUAAGUUAAGACUUGUAAGUGAAAAAUGAAAAAUAGUACCUGAAAUUUCGAGACAACAUUUUAUGAAACUGAAUUAUUAAGAUAUAAUCAACAAUUUUUAGUAAAUGAGUACUUAUACUGUAGAUGAAGUUACUUCUAUGUCUAUUGGAACAGCCUUUAUAGAUUUUGUCAGUUUGUUUAUAGUGUUUACAUUGUAAUUUUAAAUAGGUUAUUGAUACUUAUGUACUUGUGAUCAUUACAACUUAUUAUGGGGAUGCUUUGUAUUUGAUCUCUCAAAUACUAGAUAUACUAUUUUGAAACUAUAAGUGAUAAUGUCUGGUUUGCGUAACUGAUAUCCCUUGAUUUAAGUUGUUUAAGAUAUACAUUAUGUUUAAAGAAUGAAUAGGACAUUAUUUUCCAAUGAGUGGUAAAGACAGAUAAAGUUCAAAGUUUAUACAAUGUUUUACUGUAUUUAUAAGGAAUAAAAACAAGUUUCUCAGAUUUGGCUAUACUUUUUGGAACUUUUGGAUUAUAGCUCUUCAUCUUUUAUAUAAGCUUUGGAUUUUACAUAUUUUGGCCACGAGCAUCACUGAAGAGACAUGUAUUGUCGAAAUGCGCAUCUGGUGCAGAAAAAUUGGUACCGUUAAUGUUAUUAUGAGUAACAAACAACACAAUGUUUGCUUGAAAAAUCAGUCAUUCAUUACAGUUAUUGUUUUUUUUUUGUGGUUUCACAUCUGUAGACAUCAGUUUGGACACAAAAUAUAAAAUGUAAGCCAUUCGAUUUAUAUAACUGUAAAAACGUGUUUUCUGUUUCUAUUGGAUUUUCAGACAACAAUAUAUUGAUGAUGUACAGCAUCUUAUCUUAAUUAUCUGAGAUUGAAGUAUUAACUUAUGCAAGUUUCUCCAAUUUAUAUAGUCCUUCCAAAGUUUCAACUCUAAAGAUAUUUACAGAAAAGGGAUAAUGUCAAAUUAUAGCUUUAUGGUAAUGUGAUUGUAAUUAGUUGUGUGUUUUAGCUUGUUACAUGAAAUCCUUGGCUUUCAUCUAACAUUUUCAUUUUUAGGAUUUUAAAGUAAUAAAAAAAAUGAUAACAUUA
rnacentral:lncRNA from 1 species